rnacentral:rRNA from 1 species
UGAGGAAUAUUGGUCAAUGGACGCAAGUCUGAACCAGCCAUGCCGCGUGAAGGAUGAAGGCGUUCUGCGUUGUAAACUUCUUUUAUUAGGGAAGAAACCACCGAUUUCUAUUGGUGUUGACGGUACCUAAGGAAUAAGCACCGGCUAACUCCGUGCCAGCAGCCGCGGUAAUAGGGAGGGUGCAAGCGUUAUCCGGAUUUACUGGGUUUAAAGGGUGCGCAGGCGGACUGUCAAGUCAGUGGUGAAAUUUCCGGGCUCAACCCGGAAACUGCCGUUGAUACUAUCAGUCUUGAAUACUGUUGAGGUGGGCGGAAUAGGUCAUGUAGCGGUGAAAUGCAUAGAUAUGACCUGGAACCCCAAUUGCGAAGGCAGCUCACUAAGCAGACUAUUGACGCUGAGG